UACCAGUAUCUGCCCUUCCUUCGAGAGCCCUAUUUCUGUUGGCGUCUUCUCGGGCCAUAGGCGCCCUUCAAGUCGUCUCUGUCCUCGCCCCUCUGCAUCCCUCAGAGCGAUCUAGGUUAGUCCCAGCACCUUCAUCUUUCUUCCCGCCACUUAGGGGCCUCUUCUUCACCAUUAUAUUUUUUAUUCCUCCGAGUUAGUUUCCUGUGACCUCUCGCCCCUUAUCCUGUCCGUCUUCUUCGGGAUCUUUAGAGUCCUCAUUCAAAGUGUUUCUAAAUGUCGUCCGGCUAUUUCGCUCCCAGCGGUUCUGGGAGUUCUUC
rnacentral:lncRNA from 1 species